UACAGAGGUCUCAAGCGUUGUUCGGAUUCAUUGGGCGUAAAGGGCGCGUAGGUGGCGGGACAAGCGUGCGGUGAAAGCCUGGGGCUCACCCCGGGUCGGCCGUGCGAACUGUUUUGCUUGAGCACUGUAGAGGCAGGCGGAAUUCCGGGUGUAGCGGUGGAAUGCGUAGAGAUCCGGAAGAACACCGGUGGCGAAGGCGCCUGCUGGGCAGUAGCUGACACUGAGGCGCGACAGCGUGGGGGAGCAAACAGG
rnacentral:rRNA from 1 species